UACGAAGGGGGCUAGCGUUGCUCGGAAUCACUGGGCGUAAAGCGCACGUAGGCGGCUCUUUAAGUCGUGUAGUCAAAUCUCUGGGCUCAACCCAGAAUCGCUUCCGAUACUGCGGUGACUGGAGUCCGGUAGGGGAGUGUGGAAUUCCUGGUGUAGCGGUGAAAUGCGCAGAUAUCAGGAGGAACACCAACAGCGAAGGCAGCACUCUGGGCCGGUACUGACGCUGAGGAGCGAAAGCAUGGGGAGCGAACAGG
rnacentral:rRNA from 1 species